CUCCGGUGGAUAGAGAUGGGCACGCGCAGGAUUAGAUAGUUGGUGAGGUAACGGCUCACCAAGUCAACGAUCCUUAGGGGGCCUGAGAGGGUGAUCCCCCACACUGGUACUGAGACACGGACCAGACUCCUACGGGAGGCAGCAGUGAGGAAUAUUGGACAAUGGGUGAGAGCCUGAUCCAGCCAUCCCGCGUGAAGGAUGACGGCCCUAUGGGUUGUAAACUUCUUUUGUAUAGGGAUAAACCUACUCUCGUGAGAGUAGCUGAAGGUACUAUACGAAUAAGCACCGGCUAACUCCGUGCCAGCAGCCGCGGUAAUACGGAGGGUGCAAGCGUUAUCCGGAUUUAUUGGGUUUAAAGGGUCCGUAGGCGGAUUUGUAAGUCAGUGGUGAAAUCUCACAGCUUAACUGUGAAACUGCCAUUGAUACUGCAAGUCUUGAGUGUUGUUGAAGUAGCUGGAAUAAGUAGUGUAGCGGUGAAAUGCAUAGAUAUUACUUAGAACACCAAUU
rnacentral:rRNA from 1 species